AGUAGGGAGACUGGAAUUCCUGGUGUAGCGGUGGAAUGCGCAGAUAUCAGGAGGAACACCGAUGGCGAAGGCAGGUCUCUGGGCUGUAACUGACGCUGAGGAGCGAAAGCAUGGGAGCGAACAGGAUUAGAUACCCUGGUAGUCCAUGCCGUAAACGUUGGGCACUAGGUGUGGGGACCAUUCCACGGUUUCCGCGCCGCAGCUAACGCAUUAAGUGCCCCGCUUGGGGAGUACGCACGCAAGUGUGAAACUCAAAGGAAUUGACGGGGGCCCGCACAAGCGGUGGAGUAUGUGGUUUAAUUCGAUGCAACGCGAAGAACCUUACCAGGACUUGACAUGUCGCGAAUCCAGUGGAAACACAGGAGUGCCUUCGGGAGCGCGAACACAGGUGGUGCAUGGCUGUCGUCAGCUCGUGUCGU
rnacentral:rRNA from 1 species